CGCGAGGAGAAGGACGCGCUAGCCUCGGCGGCCCGGAACCGGCCUUGGACCGGCGGCGAAACCGGAGGCGGCUGGCCCUCCCGCCCCAUGGAGCGGCCCCCGGGGCUGCGGCCGGGCGCGGGCGGCCCCUGGGAGAUGCGGGAGCGGCUUGGCACCGGCGGCUUCGGGAACGUCUGUCUGUACCAGCACCGGGAACUUGAUAUCAAAAUCGCAAUUAAGUCUUGUCGCCUAGAGUUAAGUACCAAAAACAGAGAACGAUGGUGCCAUGAAAUCCAGAUCAUGAAAAAGUUGAACCAUGCAAAUGUCGUAAAGGCCUGCGACGUUCCAGAGGAAUUGAAUUUUUUAAUUAACGACGUGCCUCUUCUGGCAAUGGAGUACUGUUCUGGAGGAGAUCUCCGGAAGCUACUCAACAAACCAGAAAAUUGUUGUGGACUUAAAGAAAGCCAGAUACUUUCUUUACUGAGUGACAUAGGAUCUGGGAUUCGAUAUUUGCAUGAAAACAAAAUUAUACAUCGAGAUCUAAAACCUGAAAAUAUAGUUCUUCAAGAUGUUGGUGGGAAGAUAAUGCAUAAAAUAAUUGAUUUGGGUUAUGCCAAAGAUGUUGAUCAAGGAAGUCUCUGUACAUCCUUUGUGGGAACAUUACAGUAUUUGGCCCCAGAGCUCUUUGAAAAUAAGCCGUACACAGCCACUGUGGAUUAUUGGAGCUUUGGGACCAUGGUGUUUGAAUGUAUUGCUGGAUAUAGGCCUUUUUUGCAUCAUCUGCAGCCGUUUACCUGGCAUGAGAAGAUUAAGAAGAAAGAUCCAAAGUGUAUAUUUGCAUGUGAAGAGAUGACUGGAGAAGUUAGGUUUAGUAGCCAUUUACCUCAACCAAACAACCUUUGUAGUUUAAUUGUAGAGCCCAUGGAAAGCUGGCUACAAUUGAUGCUGAAUUGGGACCCACAGCAGAGAGGGGGACCUAUUGAUCUUACUUUGAAGCAGCCAAGAUGUUUUGUAUUAAUGGAUCACAUUCUCAACUUAAAGAUAGUGCACAUCCUAAAUAUGACUUCUGCAAAAAUCAUUUCUUUUCUGUUACCGUGUGAUGAAAGUUUUCAUUCACUACAGUCUCGUAUUGAGCGUGAAACGGGAAUAAGUACCGGUUCUCAAGAACUUCUGUCAGAGACAGGAAUUUCUCUGGAUCCUCGGAAACCAGCCUCUCAGUGUGUUCUAGAUGGAGUUAGAGGCUGUGAUAGCUACAUGGUUUAUUUGUUUGAUAAAAGUAAGACUGUAUAUGAAGGACCAUUUGCAUCCAGAAGUUUAUCUGAUUGUGUAAAUUAUAUUGUUCAAGACAGCAAGAUACAGCUUCCAAUUGUACAGCUGCGUAAAGUAUGGGCUGAAGCAGUGCACUAUGUGUCUGGGCUAAAGGAAGACUACAGCAGGCUCUUUCAGGGGCAAAGAGCAGCCAUGUUAAGUCUUCUUAGAUAUAAUGCUAACUUGACAAAAAUGAAGAAUACUUUGAUCUCAGCAUCACAGCAACUCAAAGCUAAAUUGGAGUUUUUUCACAAGAGCAUUCAGCUUGACUUGGAGAGAUAUAGUGAGCAGAUGACUUAUGGGAUAUCAUCAGAAAAAAUGCUGAAAGCAUGGAAAGAAAUGGAAGAAAAGGCCGUUCACUAUGCUGAGGUUGGUGUCAUUGGCUACCUUGAGGAUCAAAUUAUGUCUUUGCACACUGAAAUCAUGGAGCUUCAGAAGAGCCCCUAUGGAAGACGCCAAGGAGACUUGAUGGAAUCUCUGGAACAGCGUGCCAUUGAUCUCUAUAAGCAGUUAAAGCAUAGACCUACAGAUCACACCUACAGUGACAGCACAGAGAUGGUGAAGAUCAUUGUGCACACUGUGCAGAGUCAGGACCGUGUUCUCAAGGAACUGUUUGGUCACCUGAGCAAGUUGCUGGGCUGUAAACAGAAGAUUAUUGAUCUACUCCCCGAGGUGGAAGUGGCCCUCAGUAACAUCAAAGAAGCUGACAAUACUGUCAUGUUUAUGCAGGGAAAGAGGCAGAAAGAAAUAUGGCAUCUCCUUAAAAUUGCCUGUACACAGAGUUCUGCCCGCUCUCUUGUGGGAUCCAGUCUAGAAGGCACAGUAACCCCUCCAGCCUCAGCAUGGAUGCCCCCUAUGUUAGCAGACCGUGAACAUCCUCUGACACGUGUGGUAACUCCUCAAGAUGGCAUAAGGUGUGCCGUGUUCAAGUGGCUCUUUGCUAGCUUGUGUAUUGUCGCUUUUCUCACAACUCACGGAGACCUCCACAGCACCAAGCAUUUCCCGGAAGUCUGCCCAUAAUUAGUUUUGCAGAAGUGUACCCAUGUUACAUCACUGCUCAGGAGGUCAUGCAGUUGCACAUUCUGUACUCUGCUUUUAUGAAAGAAAAAGCACAUGGCAGGAAGGCAAGCUGAUAUCAGGUAUUUUAUUGUUUAAAGAAAGCAAGUUGCAGUGUAUGUCUUGGGGGUCACUAAAUAUGUGGCUCAAUAUGAGUACAUAUACUAGUAGAGGAGAGGUUGUGACUUGUAGACUUCAGGAAAUAGUCUAUUAGAACUGAAGGAAGUAAAAUUUAGUACAUCCUAACCCUUUGUUUUUAUUAAAGGCAUUUAGGCUUGGCAAGGAUGCUAAUUCCAAAUCUCAGCUCUGUAGGUAACUUCCAAUAUGAGCAGGUAGCUGUUUGCAGCGGUGUAAUGUGUUUUUAAAAUAUAUUUUCUGAUAAAGGAAAGCUGAUCUUAAUUAUAAUGUACCUGUGGUACCUAAUUACCAAGGAUUAGUAAAUAGUUACCAUGACAUUUUCUUCUGUUGGAUAAUAACUGAAUGAAUAUUUAGUUCUAAGCUAACAGUGGCUGUUAACCAUGCCCUAUGGUGUGGUAGAAGAGGGACUGUGGGCUGGUGAAGGAUAAUGACAGGACCUAAGAGAGAGGAAAGCAUGAGGGGAGAAACUGAAAUCAGCCUCCUUCAAGUCUAAGUAUCCAGAGGAUUUUGUGGUUCACGGGUUCCCUCUGUCCUUCUCAGCAGUCAGCUGGCUUGUUUUCAUUGCUACUGUCUGUGGUUUCCAAUCAGUUUUUCUCUUUCCUGGAUCUCUGGAGACCAGGAAUCUCUCCCCUUUGUCUGUGUGUGAAGUGAGUAUGCUGUUUUACUGUCCGUAAAAGGAAAAGGAAACAAUCCAGAAAAUAAACAAAACAAAAUGCUAUGUCGUUUGUCUAGACCAAGGGGGUCUUUCCCCUUAAUCUUCAGGGAGAGGUGAGAAGUUACCAGUGCCCCCUGUUUCCAAAGGAAAUCUGAUAAGUUACAGGGCACUUCCUAGAGUAGGCAGAAGCGGGUGGAUGAAGUGGGUGGAUGAAGCAGGAUGUUGUCUCUGAGGGGGAAGGGUGAAGAAACUGAAGAUUGCCUCAGUCAGCUUUGCUGGGGUGCUGAGGUGCAGAAAGUGGUCAUCCUGACCUAGAGGACCAGAACGGAAGCAACACUCAGCCGCUCUUUGCUGAACUUGAAAUGGUUUUGUUCUUUCGUCCAUCAGAGAGACCUUAGCACAAAUGAUAGAAGAAAAUCUGAACUCUCUUGGCCAUUUAAGUACUAUUAUUCGUGAAGCAAAUGAGGAACAGAGCAGGAGUAUGAUGAGUCUUGACUGGAGCUGGUUAACAG